UAAAGGUUAUUGUCUAUAUACAAUUUUGUGAUUGAUUUCCAAUGUUCGACCAGGAUCAAGGCUGUACAAUAAACGAAUCUAUUCGAAGAGAGCAGGAGACAAAUAUCAAAGUUAAAGUUUUGCACAGCACAGAUUUUUUGUUGUUGAAGUAAAAUCACAUAAAACCUGUAUUGUGGUUGUUGCGCUGAGGGGAAAGAGAGGCACGGUGCGAGAGUAGGGCUGACUCGCUCACACCACUGGCGCGCAGGCGGCAGAUAAAUGCGCAGCCAUUUUUGACUCGAGCGAGUAGAAGGCAAAGGCCACACCUCUGACAGGGGAAAAUAGUGGGAAAUUUGAGCGAGUGCGAUUAGCCAGCCAAGCAGCAGCAAGAGCAGCAGCAGCUGGCUUUUCGUGGAGAGGAAAAUUCUGCGCGCUGCCUACACAUUUGGCCAGGAAAUUUCCCAGCAACAUGCAACGGCCAAAGUUUCAGCUGGCGAAACGAAACGAAUCGAAACGAGGGAACUAUAUCGGAGACAUGCACUACGAGGAGAGCUUUUUAUGGUGCACCCUACGCUGUGCCUGUGUGGCCACCAUUUGCUCAAAAUGGCGUCGACGGAAGAGUGCCUGUCGGCGGAAUGAAUGCCGAUAAAUCAAAGUUCCUCGCAUCGAGCCUAAUUUGAAAAAUGCGCACACAUCGCCGGUGCCGGACCCAUUGCCAGUGCCAGUGCCAGUGCCUGGGGCAGAGAGAGAGAGGACCGACAGAGAGGCAAGGCCCACUGCGGAGGCAAGUGGCAGUGGCGGCUGCCGCAGCGGCAUUUCAUCAGAGAGAAUUAAUCAGAGCAGAUGAAGCGACAACCGAAAAAUAACGACGCGGCAUCUCUUAAAGACCUCGCCUCGCCUUAUCUCCUCAAUCGCCAGAUCCAGAGCCACAUCCCCAGCCACCAGCCACCAGCCACCAGUCACCAGCCGGCUUUCAGUGCGUGUCCGUGCCUCUGCCACGACCCGUUUGGUGUGCAGCAGCCUCUCCUCUCGCUCCUCUCGUAUGUACACAUAUAUUAUUGAAAACUGGCGCUUGGAGCGACGUCAGCGGAAUGUCAUUGAGCGAUGUGCGAAUGGGAAUGGGAAUGGGAAUGGACAAACAUGUCCGGUCUGACGUUUAUGAAAAGCCAUACAGCCAUCGCAGCAUCAAAGCCAAUUAAGAUACUGGACUCCACUCCCAAUACAAGCUCUAAAAAAGGAAUACGCGGCUAAUUUCUGCGACAAAGCCGACAAACGAUCCAGCAUCCAGCGUCCAGUGUCCAGUGUCCAGUGUCCAGCAACCCAAUGUCCAAGAGGCUGUGGAGAGUCUCGAGAAGCGGCACUUUUGUCGCAAACACACAGGCCGUAAAAUUAAGAACUCUGAUUGGUAACAAAUGUUUUUGUUCAUUCGAGUGAUAAAAACGUAGCGAACCGAAAAGAUAUAAAAUUCUCUUUAGUGUCUUCCCAGCGCAGCGAUGAUAAAAUAUUUAAAUGAGUCGAACGAACGAACGAAAGCCGAAUGGGAAGGCUCUCUCUCUCUCUCUCUCUCUGUCGCUCUCUCGCGGACACAUUUAGGAAAUCAGAGAACCAGAAGAGACCCCUUAAUGGCCGCGCGCACGCACUCGGACAUGGACUCAGAGCAGAGACCGGCAUGGAUGAUAUGGAGGACAUCGACAACAGUGUACAGUGGGUACCACAGCGACAGCGACUAAGACCAAGGGCAAAGUGUGAAACACCGACUGAGGCGUAACGCCCAUAGUGCUCGCUCCCCGAUAACCACUGUAUCCGAAGAGUAAGUCGGUCGGCUGUCAUGAUUAAAUAAAACUCCAAUGCAAACGGUCCGGCUAGGAUAUUAAAUUACAGCCAUAACGGCUUUGGGAUUGACUCCGACAGUGGAAGGAGAGUAGAAGGCGAGUAGAAGCAGUGACAAGGGGCAGAGACAAAGGUAAAGGCCAUGCCGGCAGGACAAACAACCCAAAAAAGGCUUGCCAGAGUGUCUUUUUGGGCCCAAGUCCAAGACACAGAACACACGGAUACACGGAUACGCAGCUACAGGGAAAGAGCCACGACAAAAUCAUAAAAGACAUAAACAGUUGUAAAGACCCAAACCACAAAGGGCGUAGAAUCAAAAUUGAGCACUAAAACGUUAUCGAGGUCGUCUCAGAUUAACUAGCCUUUUUGCUGUGUCGAUGACAGGACCGACGACACACUGAAUACUGGAUACUGGACAUGUGGACAGGGCAGGGCCAGGCCCAGGCAUGCGGACAGAUAUGCGAGCGUAACGCGUCGCUUCGGAUCAACGCAUGGACAGGGGCAGGGGUCUGGAGACAAGAUGACCCGACUGCCGUGCAAUCCCGGACCUGUCCUGUCCAGUUCCCCCCGCUGGCUGACUGACUGCAGGAUGGUGCCUUGUCGCCGACCCACAACAGUGCUAUUGUGCGACAAGUUUGUCAUUCACAACCGUCGCGACGAUAAGAAACCAUUACGAGUGUAUGAAAGAGCAAAGGACACUGCACCGAGGAGAGAGAUCUCAUUGAAUGGCGCCAGUUUCACAAUGAAUUCUGAUUCUGUCCAAAUUAUGGGAAUAUUUUCCGCCACGGUUUCAUAGCGGGGUAGCGUAGGGUUUGUUUUUUACAAGACCUCCUUAGGUGCGAGUGGAACAAUUGCUUCUUGUUUUCCAUUUCAAUUUUCUUUGAAACUCCCAAAAAUAUGCUGAUUCCUGAUACGUCUAUUGGCGCCUUUUUGCUGCCCACACAGCAGCUACUAAAGUGGCGCAUGAAAAGUGGCCAAUUUUAUGGCAUAUUAAGUACGAGUGUACAUAAAAAAUAGAAAUACAUAAAAUAUUUUAGCUUAACGCCACAUAUUUCAAACAUUUCCUACCCCCAAUUGGAUUUUAUGGGACUCGACGUUGAUUGCGGGGUGUAUCCAAGGAGGGCACUCGCCGUAAUGCCUGGCCAGGCCUGGCUCUUUAAGGGAACAUAAUUUCAUCCACGUGUCGGGGAUUACACAUUAACAUCGCUACUGUGUGUGUUCCAUUUUGGGAGGGCGUGUCAGUACAAGCGGCUGCUCUUAAUCUUCAGCUACUUGGAUAAUAAUUGAUUUUGCCGGGCAAUUGUUUCUGU